CCCCUUAUUUUCCCAUUGAUUAUAUUGUAAGAUGUAAGAAUAUAGGUAUAAAUGGCUCAAUAAUUACUAUUUCACUCUUUCAUAUUCCUUACGAUGAAAAAUGUAAGUUUCAACAUUUAUUACUCCAGUCUUUAUUAUGGCCUUGCAUGUUUUGCUACACCACCGUUAUUGUUAAUGUCAUAUAAGUAGUGUUUUCGUCCUUUUUAACGAUGGUAUCAUUUUCAGAAGCAAAUUAUCCUCCAGGCUGAUAAUAAGGUGGUUUUCCAGAUGAAGCCAUGAAGAGGUAACAGGCAUAUUCUAAAUCACUUGCCUUUUUUUAUGGGAGAAAGCGUGACACGCUCUGUGGUAUACUUCAAUGAUGAAUGCAUUUCUUUUAAGGACAUGUAGAAGAAUCUGCCAAAAUCGGGUGAAAUUUCUGAUUAUUAGAUUGUUUCUAUUUAUUGUCAAUUUUUAAAUAUAUCUUUCUUUGAUGUUCCAAUUCUUAUCCUUCAAACCCAGAUGAGAUUUCUGCUCAAUCUCAAACUUUUUCCCCUGAGAAUAUAAUCUGCCAGUCCUAAAGAAAGGAGCCAAAUGUUUACCAUACCUAUCCACCAUUAUUGGCAAUCAUUUUAACAAAAAAGAUUGUAAUUGGAUGUGUUAAAUAUACGUGACAGUAUAAGUUUUUAUAUAUUUUUAUUUGUAGAAGGCAUGUAAUUAAAAUAUGAGUUUGCUAAUA